GACGGCUCUAGAAGGAAAAUGCGACAAUUAUGACGAGCUUGAACGUCUCUGCUGGUUGCCUCGCUGAAAUUAGGGCAGUUUGGUCUUUGCACGCUUGCACUGAUUUGUGUCGGUGUACCUACUAAUGUGUCCAGCCAAAGUUGGAACUUACACUGGGCAUGCUUGGCACGUUCCCAUGGCGCUCGAGGGGGAGUUUCGGUGGGGGCCACAGACUGUCGAUCAGGCUGAAAAGACUGGAGUCCCUGAGAGUGAGACAGGAUGUAGAGUAAGGAGUGAGAGGAGGGUGGGGUGGAUUUGUUGCUGAAUAAAGGACUUUAGUGGAACUUUGGCAAGCAGUUUCACUUCCACUGCAGCAAAAAAGGGAGGCUGAGCAUUCUCAAGUGCUCAUCGAUGCUUUCUGCUGACUAUUCUCAAUGCAGGUCACAUCCACGUACAAAAACAUGCGAUGCCAUACCUGCGCACAGUUGUCGCAUUAUUUUUUUUUAAGGGUCAACAAAAGCUAAUACUCCAUCGAGGUCAAAGUUUGCAUUGUAAUUGCAUUGUAAUGAGUUUAAUAUGAUAGAAAUUUGAUCUUAAGUAAAGCGGUGUGCAAAAAAAAAAAUUGCAUCCCCAAAAACAAUUUAGAAAAUGACAUAUGAUGUAUUUGUACUGUUUGAUUAGUUUUAAUCUCCCUCAUUGACAGACGACACACGCUUGGACAUGCUGUCAAAACGAAACUAGGAGUGGAAAGUAAAAAAAAAAAGUGUCAUCAUGAGUCGACGGUACUCUGUCAAUGCUGCUCAUUCAUGUACGCGCUGUGCCGUCUUAUCAGUGACUUAGUCAGGCUUGUAAUCACAAGUGUCCUUUGUAUGGAACCGGUUCUGCAGCCCAUUCGAGUCCAGUGAGACUGCUUGAGGAUGAGUAACAACCUAUGCAGCCAUACUUGUCAGCUUCAGAUUUUGCAGGCCCAAAAAAACUAAAGGCCUGGAUUGGAGUACCUGCGUUUGCCUUGCUCUGCAGGAGGAGGAGGAGCGGAGGAGUGCUGUCUGAUGCUAGAUGCAGCAGGCGCAGGGAUGGAGUAGACCCUCUGGACCAGCACCACCACCAGCACCACAUCCUGGCUCAAAGAACCAGGCUGGUCCAUGGCUUCAACAGCUUCCAGGAGAGACUGGCACUGCUUUGCCGGGACAGCAGAGCUCCUCCUGCUGGAACCGUCAGAGAUGGUGGCUGCCUGAGAGGAAUUAAGAUAUAGAAAUUUAGAUUGCAAUGUCGGACGCACAAGUUCAGAAUUAAUGUCCUCCACGACCUUGGACAGCGUAGCAAACGUUUGACACAGAGGGUACGGUACGAGCCGUUUGGUGGCAAACCAGCCUGUCGGCGGCGCUCGGGCGGCGUUGGAAGCAGGGUGGACUUUCUGGCUGAAGCGUGCGUCGAGAAUAAUGUCACAGCCUAAGCGUUCCACGGAGAGACUUUGCCUGCAAAGAGACCAAAGCGGUGCAUCAGUUGCCGUACACCUGCCUCGAGAUGCGAAACAAGCAAUAGGUUCAAAAAAAAAAAAAAAAAAAGGUUAUAGGAGGGAGUUUUUAUGUCAAACUGAUAUAUGAGAUCUACAAGGAAAGUUACAAUGCGGAACAGAUGCGCGUUUCUCGCCAAAACGUUUUACACCGUUGCGAGGCCUGUUUAUUUUCUUUUGAAACGAUGCUCCAAUUGCGAGGGACGCUCAAAAAUCCGUGACGAUUUUUCACUGCUGCUAUUGAUUCGUUUGGUGGUUUCGCUGAAUUAGAUGAGUGAAGUCAAUAAGAAGGAACAAAAGUUUGGGAGUGACAAUUUAGCAAUGGAUUCUUUUAAGGAUGUGACAUCAUCGGAGGAACAGGCCGAUGACAAUGGAAAAAAAAAGGACGCGCCAUGCUAUUCUUUGCUUUUGCUUUUAGUGGCUUGAAUUUCACUCGGGUGUACGUUCCAAAAUGGACCUUCUUAAAUGAUUUCGAAAACAAAGCCAAGCAAAACUUUUCUCCUUUGGACCUCCGCUUGUGUACCUGAGAGAGCGAUUGAGCGGCACCUCUCGCGGGUAUUAUAGGAACUUGAAAAACAGCCCUGAUAAUUACACAGCACAUUGUUUAUAGUAGUACUGAUUUACGACUAAGUCUUUCCACAUGUGACAUGAAGAACAGAAUGGUGGAUUAUUGCUGAGUCAGCGCCAAGUGCACUCUGUGACUGGAUCUGGCAUGCGAGUUGCAGCAUGUUUCUGACGUGGGUGCAAACGAAGCGGCAAGACGACGCGCACGUACGUCGAGGGGGGGAGGGAUUUGUUUGGAUGUG